rnacentral:rRNA from 1 species
GUAGGUGGCAAGCGUUGUCCGGAAUUAUUGGGCGUAAAGCGCGCGCAGGCGGGGUCCUUUAAGUCUGAUGUGAAAGCCCACGGGCUCAACCGUGGAGGGUCAUUGGAAACUGGGGGACUUGAGUACAGAAGAGGAAAGCGGAAUUCCAAGUGUAGCGGUGAAAUGCGUAGAGAUUUGGAGGAACACCAGUGGCGAAGGCGGCUUUCUGGUCUGUAACUGACGCUGAGGCGCGAAGGCGUGGGGAGCAAACAGGAUUAGAUACCCUGGUAGUCCACGCCGUAAACGAUGAGUGCUAAGUGUUAGGGGGUUUCCGCCCCUUAGUGCUGCAGCUAACGCAUUAAGCACUCCGCCUGGGGAGUACGGCCGCAAAGGCUG